GUGGGGAAUAUUAGGCAAUGGGCGAAAGCCUGACCUAGCAACGCCGCGUGAAGGAAGAAGGCCUUCGGGUUGUAAACUUCUUUUAUGAGGGACGAAGGACGUGACGGUACCUCAUGAAUAAGCCACGGCUAACUACGUGCCAGCAGCCGCGGUAAUACGUAGGUGGCGAGCGUUGUCCGGAUUUACUGGGUGUAAAGGGCGCGUAGGCGGACUGGCAAGUCAGAUGUGAAAUACAGGGGCUCAACCCCUGAACUGCAUUUGAAACUGUUGGUCUUGAGUAUCGGAGAGGCAAGCGGAAUUCCUAGUGUAGCGGUGAAAUGCGUAGAUAUGCGGAGGAACACCGAUGGCGAAGGCAAUCCCCUGGGCCUGCACUGACGCUCAUGCACGAAAGCGUGGGGAGCAAACAGGAUUAGAUACCCUGGUAGUCC
rnacentral:rRNA from 1 species